GAAUGUAUUUGAAGGUCACGUACCUGGGGAAGUAAACUUUGAUGUAUGUAAAUUAAGUUCGAAUGUAUUAUUAUUUAGUGUUAUUCAGCUUAAAGAAAUGGUAUCGUGGAGAACCGAGUUCGGGUUGCAAGUACCUGGAUUUGGGGUCGCCACAUCUACUACUGCCUCCGUCUCACAAUAAUUAUUUUUUUAGGUUUAAUAUUUUUUUUCAAAAUAAGUGAUG
rnacentral:lncRNA from 1 species